rnacentral:snoRNA from 1 species
UUGCAGCCAAUUAAGCCAACCGUGCUCUCUUCCCACGGGGGCCCAGUGUGCAAUGGUUGCAAACAGCAGCCUCCUUGGUUGUGUAUGCAGCCUGUUGCCCAUAUAGGUUGCCCUAAGAGGCCUUGGAGACAGCC